CAGCUGACGAGUCCCAAAUAGGACGAAAAGCGCGUCCUG
rnacentral:hammerhead_ribozyme from 1 species